rnacentral:rRNA from 1 species
GUGGGGGAUAUUGCACAAUGGAGGAAACUCUGAUGCAGCGACGCCGCGUGAGUGAAGAAGUAUUUCGGUAUGUAAAGCUCUAUCAGCAGGGAAGAUAAUGACAGUACCUGACUAAGAAGCCCCGGCUAACUACGUGCCAGCAGCCGCGGUAAUACGUAGGGGGCAAGCGUUAUCCGGAUUUACUGGGUGUAAAGGGAGCGUAGACGGAAUGGCAAGUCUGAAGUGAAAUCCUGCGGCUUAACUGCAGAAUUGCUUUGGAAACUGUCAAUCUGGAGUGAUGGAGAGGUAAGCGGAAUUCCUGGUGUAGCGGUGAAAUGCGUAGAUAUCAGGAAGAACACCGGAGGCGAAGGCGGCUUACUGGACAAUAACUGACGUUGAGGCUCGAAAGCGUGGGAAGCAAACAGGAUUAGAAACCCGGGUAGUCC